rnacentral:rRNA from 1 species
GAGUUUGAUCGUGGCUCAGAUUGAACGCUGGCGGCAUGCUUUACACAUGCAAGUCGAGCGGCAGCGCGGGGGCAACCCUGGCGGCGAGCGGCGAACGGGUGAGUAAUGGAUAGGAACGUGUCCGGGAGUGGGGGAUAACUAGCCGAAAGGUUAGCUAAUACCGCAUAUUCUGUGCGCAGGAAAGCGGGGGACCUGAAAGGGCCUCGCGCUCGCGGAGUGGCCUAUCUCCGAUUAGCUAGUUGGUGAGGUAAAGGCUUACCAAGGCGACGAUCGGUAGCUGGUCUGAGAGGAUGAUCAGCCACACUGGGACUGAGACACGGCCCAGACUCCUACGGGAGGCAGCAGUGGGGAAUUUUGGACAAUGGGGGCAACCCUGAUCCAGCCAUGCCGCGUGAGGGAAGAA